rnacentral:lncRNA from 1 species
UAAAAAAAAAAAAAAAAAACAAAGGAACUUUUUUUAUGACUGAAUUCUUUUUUUUAAUUACUUCUUUUUAUUAGACAGUUCAAAUUAAGCUUGAAGAACAAGAAGCAAUACAACUCAACUAUUGAAAUAUAAAGUUGAGCUUAAUUUAUUCAACAAAAUGUACCCAGUAUAUCAGUGUACAAAGCAUCCUGCUGGGCUGGGCAUCAGCCGUGGCACAGCGAACAAGACAGACUGACUCAACCCCCAGGGGGCUUACAUUCUAAUGCAGAAAGCAGAAAAUUUCAGUUUGGAUACAUAAUACAAAUUAUCAAAGCAAGGCACAAAGUAUUUUAAAAAUAAGGGGUUUGGGAGGCAAGGAUCUGACCUACUCUAUAGAAGGUCUCCUUGGGGAAGUAACAGUUGAGCCGAUCUAAGGAUGCUAGAUAGUCACUAGGUCAGUGGAAAAAAUCAGUGGUUCUCACUGUGGUCAGUGGGUUGUUGGUGAUUUCAUAAUAAUUGGGGACUAUUCCCGGCAAUGAGUGGAUGCAGCCAGGGAGAAUGAUGUCCUGCAGCAUGUGGGUUAGUGCCACACAACGAAGAAUUAUUCUGUACGCUGUACGACUGUAUGACUGAAUUCUUACAGCAAAAAGUUAAUGGUCAAUAAAUACAUUUUUGUGAACAUCUUCCCUACCAGAAAAAGGAAAAGAGCACUGAACUUCCCUAAAAUUACUCUUCUAUAUAUAUUUUUUUCAGAAUUAUCUGCAACACACCCCUGUAGAAGAAUGUUCAAGCAGAUUUAGGAGAAAAAAAAAAAAUGACUCUUCUAGCCAGCCAUGGUGGCUCACGCCUGUAAUCUCAACACUUCCGGAGGCCAAGGAAGGAGGAUCACUUGAGCUCAGGAGUUUGAGACCAGCCUGGGCAACAUAGAGAGAUCCCAUCUUUACAAAAAAAUUAUUUAAAAAACUAGUCAGGCAUCAUGGUGUAUGUCUGUAGUCCCAGCUACUCAGGAGGCUGAGAUGGGAAGAUUGCUUGAGCCCAGGAGUCUGAAGCUGAAGUGAGCUAUGAUCACAGCAUUGCACUUCAGCCUGGGUAACAGAGGGAGACCCCUAUCUUAAAAAAAAAAAAAAAAAAAAAAGACUAUCCUAAAUAUAUAUGUAUAUAUAUGUGUGUAUGUACAUAUGGUGUGUGUAUGUCAUGUAUAUAGUAGAUACUGUGUAUAUACACUGUGUAAUUUUGUACCAAAGAUAGUAAUUGAAAUGCUCUCUGUAGUACAUGGUACCCCUCUGUGAAAACUUGUCUUUGCCAUGCAGUUAAAUUUCUUUUUGUGCAUUUGGUGUCUGUCAUUCUGUACUUUGCCCACGUUUCUGUGUUUCACUCAUAAUUUAAGUAAAAUUUCCUAGCAGUUCUCCAUUUAAAACUAAGUAUAAUCUUUUCCUCCCUUCAACGUGGGAAUGAAGUAGCUCAUUUUGACAUACUUAAGGAAAAGGAUAAAAACAGUUGGAAGACUCCGGGAGAUCUGCAACAUGUAGCACACUGUGGAUUCCUUUGUUUCCCAGUCCUCUGUGCUCCUGAAGUGCUAAUGAAGCCUUUGUUAUAAAAUGGAUGGCUGUAGUGAGUAUGUCAGCCCAUAAUCUAUAAAACCAGUCUAAGUGCCUGUGAGCUAGACUAACGUCAAUUUUGUUUUAUGAUCAUCUAAAAACAAAUGACAUGAGAUAUUUGCUGAGAUUUUACUCUAAAAAUCCAGAGUAAAGUGGAUCCCCUUGGUCUCUAGUAACAGUUAAAUUAUAUCCCACUUGGGCAUUUCUGGGAAUUUAUAAGUUUUUAAUUAAUUCAAAAUUCCACACUGCAGUAGCAUAAAGAUAAUUUCCUCUCCAGCAAACAAUUGUAGUAAAAACAAUUCCAUGCACAAAGUAAAUUGAGGUAUUGAGAAACAGUUUUCAUUAUUAUAAAGAAUGAAAUAAGGAUAGGGAGACCCACUGGGGCUUAGUUCCAAUUUCAUGUAGCAUUUUUCUCAUUCAUUUGUUGGACUUAUUCUGCCAGAAUGUAUUUUAUGUUAAUAUAACUAAAUCUAAUUUUUACCUCUCGUGAAGAGACUAGGAUAUUAUAACAUUCAACCACAUAUUGGUGAUUCUCUUCUAUUACGGUCAUAUCUGCUGAAAUUGUUAUAUAGCUAUUUUUUUGCAAAAUAUAUUAAGACAUUCCAGAUUUUUAAAGUGGUUCUUUAGUAGUUAAAUUUAAUUAGACUUAGGUAGACUAACCAAAAGGAAUAGUAGUACAAAUACAAGGUGAUUUGCCUUUAAAUAAGAGACAGCAUUGUACUUAUAGGAAAAUAGGGAAAAAUUUAAAAAAGGUCUUGCAAUGAAAUUCCCAUUUGGAAUUGUCAAAUUUCCCCAGAUUAUAAUUGUUCUCUCCUGGUGUCUUUAUAUCAAUAGUUCCUUGAGAAUAUUCACUUAAGUUUUUCCUUAUAUUAUUUUGGCUAAAUUUUAUAAGAUAUUAUCUUUCACAAAAUGUCAUGUACUUUCCUUGCCACAUAUGGUAAUAGUCAAGGUUUUCGGUUUUGUAUCAUAAAUUUUAAAGAAAACUAAGCAGCCUACUAACGUUAAUUAACUCUUACAUUAAGACUGUGCAGUAAAUCAACUCUGCUCCUUGGAUUUUUUUCCUAACGCUUUAUUGCUAUGGCAAUAAUAUCUUCAAAACUGUUACCUCUUACCUGUUUUCCUCAGCUAGUGAGUGUUCAACUGUUAUCUAAUAUUUCUUUUUUAGGGGGUGAGGUUAUUUUAUUUUUUAUAAAAUUAAUAUGUACUACAAUGUUUUUUUUACAGUUCAAUAAAUUUUGGUAUAUUCAGAGUUGUGCAACCAUCAACACAGUUACUGUUAGAACAUUUCAUCACCUCAAAAAGACAUGCCCAUGCCCAUUAGCAGUUAUUCCUCACCUUCCCUAACUCCCCCAGCCCUAAGCAAUCACCAGACUACUUUCUCUGUGGAUUUGUCUAGUCUGGACAUUGUCUAGUACUUUUUUUUUUGAGACGGAGUCUCGCUCUAUCGCCCAGGCUGGAGUGCAGUGGCGCGAUCUCGGCUCACUGCAAGCUCCGCCUCCCGGGUUCACACCAUUCUCCUGCCUCAGCCUCCUGAGUAGCUGGGACUACAGGCGCCCACCACCAGGCCGGCUAAUUUUUUGUAUUUUUAGUAGAGACGGGGUUUCACCGUGUUAGCCAGGAUGGUCUCGAUCUCCCGACCUUGUGAUCCACCCGUCUCAGCCUCUCAAAGUGCUGGGAUUACAGGCAUGAGCCACCGCGCCCGGCCUGUCUAGUACUUCUUAAAGCUCAGUCCUUUCUUUGUAUGCAGAGUAAAGCUAAAAGGGAGAUUAUCUGAUAAAUUCAUUUGAUGGUAAGAUAGUUUCCACCUUUAAUUUUUAUUUUAAUAUGAUAGGUGCUUUUUGAAAUUCAAAGGUGAACAAGACACUGAUUGCAGCUCUACAGGAUCUAGAACCAGCGGUACAAGGGAUAUAAUAAUAAUAGUAAAAAUCCAGGGUUAGGUUUAUGAUUAAGGGUAGAAAGUCAAUGAAAAGGAAAGUGAAAAAUAAUCAGGAAUUUAAACACUAAAAUAUUUUCAUGUAUCUAGAUUAUUCCCAAUUCUCUGAAAGUCAGGCGAUUCAUCUGACAUGAAAUAAACUAAUACUAGUUUUUCUGUGGUUCAUGGAAAAUACAAGGAUGCCUCAAACAAAAUAUUCUUUCUCUAGAGUCAGAGAAAUUUCAUACAUGGAAUCACUGGGGUUUUUUGUUUUGUUUGAAACUAAUAAACUCUGUCUCCCAGGCUGGAGUGCAAUAGUGCAAUUACAGCCCCAUUCCAACUUCUGGGCUCAAAUA